GGACGGUUAGCUCAAUGGCAGAGCAUCGCGUUUACAUCGCGGGGGUUAUAGGUCCGAAUCCUAUACCGUCCACAA
rnacentral:tRNA from 1 species